rnacentral:rRNA from 1 species
AUGGCGCUAGCUGCAUGGCAUGGAUUAUUUGUUUUUGGUCUCUGGAUCUGUGUGAAGGAGAUUGGCAGGAUUGCGCCGUCAGAGAUUGACUGGGUUGAAGCUGGCGUCGUCUCCCCGAUUGUGAGGAAACAACAGAAUUGUGGCAGCUGUUGGGCCAUAGCUGUUGCAUCCUCGGUCGAAGCUGUACAUUACAUGAAUACCUUGCAGUCAGUCUCUUUGUCGGUUCAAGAGCUCAUCGACUGUGACACAGAGAACGAUGGGUGUGACGGGAGUCUCGAUGAUCUGCAGAAAUACAAAGGAGGCAUCCUGGAUUAUGAACCUAACGGAGACUACACCGGCAGCAGACAUGCUGUCCUGAUUGUUGGUUAUGGCACAGAUUCAGACGGUGUCAAGUACUGGCGCUUCAAGAACUCGUGGGGAGAAGACUGGGGUGAGGGUGGGUUUGGGAGGAUCCGCAGGCACAUUGCCGACAAGCGAGGUGUGUUGGGUAUUUUCAUGCACCAAGAGUAUAUCCACUGCUUAUGGACUGAUCAAUCUAUAUGGUUGCAUCUUUUGUUCGUAAAACUUGUAUCCCCUUCCUGGUUUCAUAUUUUUGCACCUCUGCUCGUGUAG